UCUAGGGAGGUCUGUGGCGCUCAGUAGUUAGUAAUAAGGGAGAUCUAGGGAGGUCUCUGGCGCUCAGUAGUUAGUAAUGAGAGAGUCUCUGGUGCUCUGUAAUUAGUAAUGAGGGAGAUAUGGGGGAGGUCUCUGGCGCUCAGUAGUUAGCAAUGAGAGAGUCUCUGGCGCUCAGUAGUUAGUAAUGAGGGAGAUAUUAGAGAGGUCUGUGGUGCUCAGUAGUUAGUAAUGAGGGAGAUAUGGGAGAGGUCUGUGGCGCUCAGUAGUUAGUAAUGAGAGAGAUAUGGGAGAGAUCUGUGGCGCUCAGUAGUUAGUAAUGAGAGAGAUAUGUAGAGGUCUGUGGUGCUUAGUAGUUAGUAAUGAGGGAGAUAUGGGAGAGGUCUGUGGCGCUCAGUAGUUAGUAAUGAGAGAGAUAUGGGAGAGAUCUGUGGCGCUCAGUAGUUAGUAAUGAGAGAGAUAUGUAGAGGUCUGUGGUGCUUAGUAGUUAGUAAUGAGGGAGAUAUGGGAAGGUCUGUGGCGCUCAGUAGUUAGUAAUGAGGGAGAUAUGGGAGAGGUCUGUGGCGCUCAGUAUUUAGUAAUGAGAGAGAGAUAUGGAGAGGUUUGUGGCGCUCAGUAGUUUAGUAAUGAGAGAGAUAUGGAGAGGUCUGUGGCGCUCAGUAGUUAGUAAUGAGGGAGAUAUGGGAGAGGUCUGUGGCGCUCAGUGGUUCGUAAUGAGGGAGAUGUGGGGGAGGUCUGUGGCGCCUAGUAGUUAGUAAUGAGGGAGAUAUGGGAGAGGUCUGUGACGCUCAGUAGUUAGUAAUGAGGGAGAUGUGGGGGAGGUCUGUGGCGCCUAGUAGUUAGUAAUGAGGGAGAUCUAGGGAGGUCUGUGGCGCUCAGUAGUUAGUAAUAAGGGAGAUCUAGGGAGGUCUCUGGCGCUCAGUAGUUAGUAAUGAGAGAGUCUCUGGUGCUCUGUAAUUAGUAAUGAGGGAGAUAUGGGGGAGGUCUCUGGCGCUCAGUAGUUAGCAAUGAGAGAGUCUCUGGCGCUCAGUAGUUAGUAAUGAGGGAGAUAUUAGAGAGGUCGGUGGCGCUCAGUAGUUAGUAAUGAGGGAGAUAUGGGAGAGGUCUGUGGUGCUCAGUAGUUAGUAAUGAGGGAGAUAUUAGAGAGGUCUGUGGUGCUCAGUAGUUAGUAAUGAGGGAGAUAUGGGAGAGGUCUGUGGCGCUCAGUAGUUAGUUAUGAGAGAGAUAUGGGAGAGAUCUGUGGCGCUCAGUAGUUAGUAAUGAGGGAGAUAUGGAGAGGUCUGUGGUGCUUAGUAGUUAGUAAUGAGGGAGAUAUGGGAGAGGUCUCUGGCGCUCAGUAGUUAGUAAUGAGGGAGAUAUGGAGAGGUAUGUUGCGCUCAGUAGUUAGUAAUGAGGGAGAUAUGUGAAGGUCUGUGGCGCUCAGUAGUUAGUAAUGAGGGAGAUAUGGAGAGGUACAUGGCGCUCAGUAGUUAGUAAUGAGGGAGAUAUGUGAAGGUCUGUGGCGCUCAGUAGUUAGUAAUGAGAGAGAUAUGGGAGAGGUCUUUGGCGCUCAGUAGUUAGUAAUGAGGGAGAUAUGGAGAGGUAUGUGGUGCUCAGUAGUUAGUAAUGAGAGAGAUAUGGGAGAGGUCUGUGGCGCUCAGUAGUUAGUAAUGAGGGAGCUAUAGGGAGGUCUGUGGCACUCAGUAUUUAGUAAUGAAGGAGUCUCUGGCACUCAGUAGUUAGUAAUAAGGGAGAUAUGGAGAGGUCUGUGGCACUCAGUAGUUAGUAAUGAGGGAGAUAUGGGGGAGGUUUGUGGCGCUCAGUAGUUGGUAAUGAGAGAGAUAUGGGAGAGAUCUGUGGCGCUCAGUAGUUAGUAAUGAGGGAGAUAUGUGAAGGUCUGUAGCGCUCAGUAGUUAGUAAUGAGGGAGAUAUGGAGAGGUAUGUGGCGCUCAGUAGUUAGUAAUGAGGGAGAUAUGUGAAGGUCUGUGGCGCUCAGUAGUUAGUAAUGAGGGAGAUAUGGAGAGGUCUGUGGUGCUUAGUAGUUAGUAAUGAGGGAGAUAUGGG